UAAACCUUCGAAUCGGAGGAU
rnacentral:snRNA from 1 species